rnacentral:rRNA from 1 species
UAACGUAGACCCGUGAACCGGGUUGCGGACAGUGUCUGGUGGGUAGUUUGACUGGGGCGGUCUCCUCCUAAAGCGUAACGGAGGAGCACGAAGGUUGGCUAAUCCUGGUCGGACAUCAGGAGGUUAGUGCAAUGGCAUAAGCCAGCUUGACUGCGAGCGUGACGGCGCGAGCAGGUGCGAAAGCAGGUCAUAGUGAUCCGGUGGUUCUGAAUGGAAGGGCCAUCGCUCAACGGAUAAAAGGUACUCCGGGGAUAACAGGCUGAUACCGCCCAAGAGUUCAUAUCGACGGCGGUGUUUGGCACCUCGAUGUCGGCUCAUCACAUCCUGGGGCUGAAGUAGGUCCCAAGGGUAUGGCUGUUCGCCAUUUAAAGUGGUACGCGAGCUGGGUUUAGAACGUCGUGAGACAGUUCGGUCCCUAUCUGCCGUGGGCGCUGGAGAACUGAGGGGGGCUGCUCCUAGUACGAGAGGACCGGAGUGGACGCAUCACUGGUGUUCGGGUUGUCAUGCCAAUGGCACUGCCCGGUAGCUAAAUGCGGAAGAGAUAAGUGCUGAAAGCAUCUAAGCACGAAACUUGCCCCG